rnacentral:rRNA from 1 species
UACGUAGGGUGCAAGCGUUAAUCGGAAUUACUGGGCGUAAAGCGUGCGCAGGCGGUUGUGCAGGACAGAUGUGAAAUCCCCGGGCUCAACCUGGGAAUUGCAUUUGUGACUGCACGGCUAGAGUGUGUCAGAGGGGUAGGAAUUCCACGUGUAGCAGUGAAAUGCGUAGAGAUGUGGAGGAAUACCGAUGGCGAAGGCAAUCCCUGGACCUGUACUGACGCUCAUGCACGAAAGCGUGGGGAG